rnacentral:rRNA from 1 species
CACUAGGGAUACCCGCUGAACUUAAGCAUAUCAU